CCUACGGGAGGCAGCAGUGGGGAAUAUUGCGCAAUGGGCGAAAGCCUGACGCAGCGACGCCGCGUGAGGGAUGAAGGUCUUCGGAUCGUAAACCUCUGUCAGCAGGGAAGAACGGUCACUGUGCUAAUCAGCAGUGAAUUGACGGUACCUGCAAAGGAAGCACCGGCUAACUCCGUGCCAGCAGCCGCGGUAAUACGGAGGGUGCGAGCGUUAAUCGGAAUUACUGGGCGUAAAGCGCUCGUAGGCGGUAUGUCAAGUCAAGGGUGAAAUCCCCGCGCUCAACGUGGGAACUGCCUUUGAAACUGGCAAACUGGAGUGUGUGAGAGGAUAGUGGAAUGCCAGGUGUAGGAGUGAAAGCCGUAGAUAUCUGGAGGAACAUCAGUGGCGAAGGCGACUAUCUGGCACAUAACUGACGCUGAGGAGCGAAAGCGUGGGUAGCAAACAGGAUUAGAUACCCCGGUAGUC
rnacentral:rRNA from 1 species